CCUACGGGAGGCUGCAGUGGGGAAUAUUGGACAAUGGGCGAAAGCCUGAUCCAGCCAUGCCGCGUGUGUGAAGAAGGCCUUCGGGUUGUAAAGCACUUUCAGUGGGGAAGAAAGCCUUGGGGCUAAUACCCUCGAGGAAGGACAUCACCCACAGAAGAAGCACCGGCUAACUCCGUGCCAGCAGCCGCGGUAAUACGGAGGGUGCGAGCGUUAAUCGGAAUUACUGGGCGUAAAGCGCGCGUAGGCGGUCUGAUAAGCCGGUUGUGAAAGCCCCGGGCUCAACCUGGGAACGGCAUCCGGAACGGUCAGGCUAGAGUGCCGGAGAGGAAGGUAGAAUUCCCGGUGUAGCGGUGAAAUGCGUAGAGAUCGGGAGGAAUACCAGUGGCGAAGGCGGCCUUCUGGACUGACACUGACGCUGAGGUGCGAAAGCGUGGGUAGCAAACAGGAUUAGAUACCCUAGUAGUC
rnacentral:rRNA from 1 species